AGUCGANCGGUAACAGGUCUUCGGAUGCUGACGAGUGGCGAACGGGUGAGUAAUACAUCGGAACGUGCCUAGUAGUGGGGGAUAACUACUCGAAAGAGUAGCUAAUACCGCAUGAGAUCUACGGAUGAAAGCAGGGGACCUUCGGGCCUUGUGCUACUAGAGCGGCUGAUGGCAGAUUAGGUAGUUGGUGGGGUAAAGGCUUACCAAGCCUGCGAUCUGUAGCUGGUCUGAGAGGACGACCAGCCACACUGGGACUGAGACACGGCCCAGACUCCUACGGGAGGCAGCAGUGGGGAAUUUUGGACAAUGGGCGAAAGCCUGAUCCAGCAAUGCCGCGUGCAGGAUGAAGGCCCUCGGGUUGUAAACUGCUUUUGUACGGAACGAAAAGCCUGGGGCUAAUAUCCCCGGGUCAUGACGGUACCGUAAGAAUAAGCACCGGCUAACUACGUACCAGCAGCCGCGGUAAUACGUAGGGUGCAAGCGUUAAUCGGAAUUACUGGGCGUAAAGCGUGCGCAGGCGGUUUUGUAAGACAGUGGUGAAAUCCCCGGGCUCAACCCGGGAACUGCCAUUGUGACUGCAAGGCUAGAGUGCGGCAGAGGGGGAUGGAAUUCCGCGUGUAGCAGUGAAAUGCGUAGAUAUGCGGAGGAACACCGAUGGCGAAGGCAAUCCCCUGGGCCUGCACUGACGCUCAUGCACGAAAGCGUGGGGAGCAAACAGGAUUAGAUACCCUGGUAGUCCACGCCCUAAACGAUGUCAACUGGUUGUUGGGUCUUAACUGACUCAGUAACGAAGCUAACGCGUGAAGUUGACCGCCUGGGGAGUACGGCCGCAAGGUUGAAACUCAAANGAAUUGACGGGGANCCGCACAAGCGGUGGNUGAUGUGGUUUAAUUCGAUGCAACGCGAAAAACCUUACCCACCUCUGACAUGGCAGGAANUUACCAGAGAUGGUUUGGNGCUCGAA
rnacentral:rRNA from 1 species